UAUCGCGUGUACCGGCGGCGAACCGCGAC
rnacentral:sRNA from 1 species